AGCUUUGCGCACCGGCAGUAUUGCAGCCAAUGAGGUUUAUCCGAGGUGCAAUUAUUGAAAACUUUUUCCAAUACCCCGCCAUGACAACUUGAAAUAUAGUUGGCAUUGGCAAUUUUUUGCAGUCUCUACAGGGA